rnacentral:lncRNA from 1 species
ACAGAGAGCCAUCUGCCUAAUGUGAUGCCUAUAUUGUUUUAUCUGAAAAGAUAAUGGUAUGUCAAAAAUGGAAUCCAUUCUUGCUCACUUUAUUCUGAGUGCAGUUUAAAGAUAAACAUAUUAGAGAAAUGACUUCAGAUAUGAAAGUAGUAAAACUAUGAAAUAAUUUAAUUCUCUUAUUGGUUUACUAGUGUUCCUGUGUCAGAAAAAAAUUUAUUGCUUUUGCUUAGUUUUCCCCAUUUUUAAAUGGAAUCAGUGUAGUCCAUCCAAAACUCAUGAAAAGAACGAUUUGUUUUCUUGAAAGAAUAUAGAAUUUUAAAAGAUCUGGAGCCCUUGGAUCUUGGGUAUCUUUUAUGACUAAAAUGUUAUUAGUUGUAUUGUGAAUUCUUUUUUGCAUGCUAUUUUUGAUAGAUGUGAUCUAUGUCAAUUUGAGCAGGUAAAAUUAUUAUCUGAUUUUUCAGUGUCCUAAUAAAAUAAUAAAAAUGUAUCCUCCUAUUUUAUCUUUACAAGGUAACUACAAAUGUCUUUUAGAAGUCUGCUAUCCUAAAGGAACAAAAUCCUAUAGUAUAUAGGAAUUCUCCUAACAAAGAUUUGUAUUUUUACCUAUACUAGCUUUCUUCUUUCCUCUUAACUCCUUUAUGCAUUAUUACCAAAUUGUAGUUCUGAAAUCAUCUGUUAUUUCUACCUUUGUUUUACAGAUUUACCAGUAUUGAUAACUGGGACCGUCAGGUAAGUAAAAGGACCCUCUCAGAAAGGAUGAGCUGUAAUCAAUUUAGAAAUCAUCUUUCAUUUGUCUGAUUGGGUAGGGCAAGGGUUAUGGUUCCUUCAGUGGGGUAGGAAGGCAUAAUUAUUAUUUUUAUUUUGCAAAGUAGAAAACCAAAAGCACAGAAUGGAACUGGUCACGUGACUAAGAGCUCACAUCCAUGAACUCAGCCCAUUGGAAGUUGCAUUUUAUAACUUUCGUGAGUUUUAAGUAUAUGUAUCCCUCUGCUAGAUAUCAAAGUGAGAAGCUAAAAGCACAUCGCUGUGAUGCAAAUCAAAAUCCACCAUCUUACUAUCAGUGCUUCCUUCAGGAAGUUGUACCUGAAAAAGCAUUCUUCUAGGACUAGUGGAAACCUAGCAAGCACUUUGGAAUAAACUUAGUUGCACAAACCAGUCUGUGAAUAGAUUCAGUUCAGUUCAACAAAUAUCUCCUGAGCAAGUCCGAUGUGUUGGGCACUAGGGUAGGGGAUUGGAUUGAAGAAUAAACAAGGUUUUGCAAUACAGUGGAUGAGACAGACAAGAACAAUUUUUGUUUGUUUUGGCUGUGGUGUGCAGUGGCUCAAUGAGGGACCUCAGUUCCCAGACCAGGGAUUGAACCUGGCCGCCACAGUGAAAAUGCUGAGUCUCAACCACUAGACCACCAAGAAAGCUAUAAUUCUUAAAUUAUAAAGAGUGAUUUAAGAGUACAAGGGAAGGGCGUUUUGCUACAGGUUACUGAAAUUGAAUCCAAUAUACAGGGUUAGCUAGGAGAACAGACUAAAACAUUUUGUACCAAUCGCUCAGCAAAGCUUUGGAGUAAAAAAUUGGUGUGAAUACUAGUAGUUCCAUGUUUUAAAUCUAGCAGUGGUUGCAACAAAAUGAUUUACAGAAAGGGUAAAAACAAAAACAAGUUUAACCAAGGAAGUGAGAUUCUUUACCAAGAAGAAUCUGGCAAUCAUGAUCUGUCUUUGGGCAUUCCUCAGUUUACCACAUUCUUUAAGUCUGCUUGGUGCAUAUGCUCCUUUAUGCUCAGUUUUAAAUUUCAGAUAAGAAGCUGAUUCUUAAAAAUGAAAACAACCUAUUGAUAUUUAUUUAUUCAUAAGAAUUCUAAAGGGACAGCAGCAAGAUGGGCUCAGGCAGUUAAAAAUGUGUGGGGUAUGUGUGUGCGUGUGUGUGUUUUCACACAUCCCAAACAAUACAACUCUAUUUGCAUUAAACUUAUUAAGUCAAAUCAAUUUUACAGACAUACUGGUUAGAGUUUUGGCACUUAAUUCCUCUUGAUAGUCCACCUGGUAAAUUUCAUUUCCCACUGUGCUUCCCUGCAACCUAUUUUUAACAUUGUGUUUGUUUGGACAUCAUUAACAAAGAGAAGAGCCUCCUUGGAGUUGUAAAGUACAGAAGAGCAAUUCAGAUAUUGCAGUGAGAAAACAGUCACAUUCACAUACUCAGGUCUUUUGUCACAUAGUCAAAUAAGGUUGAAAUAUAUUUACUCAUGAGGUCUGAGAAUAUUUAGUUAUUAGGUAGACAUCAACUGUGCACAGAUUCAUGAGCUACAUAGGGAUAAAGAGAAAUCCAUACCAUACUUCUUAUUCCCCCUAUAUAUGUAUCUUUUGAGGGGGCCAUGCCAAGGGCAUGCAGAAGUUUCUGGGCCAGGGAUCAAACUCCAGCCAUAGCAGUGACAGUGCCAGAUCCUUAACCUACUGAGGCACCAGGAAACUCCCCAAAAUAAGUGUCUUAGAUGGGAAGCAACAAUUCUUAAUUGUUGAGGAUCUGUUAUAUGCUGGCUCAGUGACAGACAUUUAGUUAUACCUUACUUCAUUUAAUUUUCAGAGCAACACUGUAAAGUGGGGAAAUAAAACUCAGAAAAGUGAAGCAGUCUGCUGCCAGUCAUAUGGCGAGAAUUCAAACCAGGAUCUGACUCCAGGCCAGUGCUCUUUGUAUUACCCCUGCCUCACUGAGGCUUCUAACAAAAUCAUACACCAUGGAAGGUUAAUGACCAUAAGGCAAUUUAGCAGUGACCCCAAGAAAAUAAUUGCAAAAAUUCACGUUUAUGAGAUAUAAAAAAAUAAGAGAUAUUUGUUUUUUAAAGGAAUUUGAAUAAGAAAUAAGAAUAUUUAUUAUAAAGAUGUGUAGAUCACCUACUAUGUGCCAGGCAUUCGAGAGAGAAGUAUGAGAUUUGCCCCCUGGUCUGAGUCCAGGACUUGUUUUAUUCCCAACUACUGAACAGCCUCCUCCCAAACUUCCUUACACGCUUGCAGCCACAAAGUCACGAGCAGCCUUGCAAGUGAGGUAGAUCUUAGCAGACAGGAUGUGUGAGCGAGAAACUAAAAAGUUACACGUUUUCCAUUUAAACAACCUUCUACAGACCUUCUCUCUGCAUGUGAAUUGGGAUUCAUUACUAAAAGCUGCUUAACUCACUGUGACCUAAGAAUUGAUAUAUGGUCCUAGAUGUUAUACAACCAAGGAAAUAUCUGCCUUUGGGAGGGAGGUCAUUUGAACUUAGAAGUUUGAAACUUAAAAAAAAAGCAAUGAAAAUAUAUAUUACUAGAAUUAAAGAAUGUGCCCUAGAUAGGUUCUUUUGUCCACAGUUUCCCAGAUUAGAAAUGUUAGGUAGGAUUCUCACUUGUAAAGUAGUUUAAGCACACGCUUCCUAAACAUUAUUUUCUACAAUGUUAAGUUUCAUCUGCUUUAAACCUUGUGAUGAUAAGUCUGCUCACGUUAUGCCUUUCCAUAAAGCUCAAAAUCCCCAUCUCAGUAUCAGGCUUAUCUAUCAACCCAGCUAAAUUACCCAUCACAAGAGGCCACCACUGUGAGGCAGGAAGUAGGGAGGGUAAUUUUUCUGGAUUUAACGACCACACACUGUCUUAGAAAGCAUUGUUGAGGGUUGUCAAGAGAAGAUAUAUGCCAAUUUUUAUGAGGUUGCCACCAACCUUGAAUAUUUUGAAUGAGCAGCUCCUAGAUUGUAGGAUAUUUAUUUAUAUUUAUAUUUAUAUUUAUAUUCAUUCUUGUAUUUGGAUCUGGAUUGAGCCCUUGUUUUAAGAGAAUAAGACUUUGUUGGACCAUCCUGGUUCUAUAAAUGAUGCAAAUGUAAGUGUCUUCAGGCAGCUUAGUAAACUUUCAAUCUCUCCAAAAACCCAUAGAAAAAUCCAAGGGCAUUUGAAAACAAGUUUAGAAAUGAUGCAAGAGCACCCUGCCUGACCUCUAGCAUUCCCUUUUGGUGGUAGGAAGGUGGUCAUGGUGAAGCAGUAGUAAUUGUUCUGAGGUCAUGUUAGAGUUGAUGCUCAUAUAGUGCACAGAGAUGAAUAAUAUUUGUCUUGAAGGGAUCUAAGCCAAGUUGUCCAGCCACGAUUACUAGAUUCCUUUUGAUAAAUAUGAAUAACCUCUAAUAAUUGGAGGUAAGGGAGAAAAGAUAUGUUUCUUUCCCCUACAUCAUUAACAUAAAAUAAAAAAAAAUCCCAGACUGACCUCUGUCACACAUAGUAUGUUUAGUUUUCCAGCAAGUAUGAAACAUAGGCACAAACCCUUCCAUAGGCUUAAACAGUCCCUUGGGUGUCCUAACAAAUCUUAAAAUCAGAAGUUAACCUCCAGGCAGGUGUGAUCCUGUUCCAGCUAACCAGGUUAAUCUGAGUCAUGACUAAAAAUCUACUGGCUUAACACAAGACCUUUCAGGAACAAGAUCUGGGUAGUCAAUUCUAUGGGUCAGGGAUGAAAGGCUUGUCUAGAUUCCUAUAUGGUAUUCAUGCAUUUUAUUCCGCAGUGUUUCAGCCCAUCCAUACGACAUACUUUUCUGCAAAGAAACACAAUCUCUAACAUUUGUUCCACAAAUGAGCAUAUGAACAUUCAUAAAUAUAUCUGAACCUUGUGUUGGCCACCUCUGGAAAACAUCCCUUUGACGAGAUACUAGCUAAUCUUCCCUGGAGGGAGUACCUGUUAGAGCAUUUGAUCAAAUGUCAGGUGUAGACUUUAACUAACAUUGCUGUGAAGGGAGGUUAUUUUUAUAGUAUAAAUGGACGUCAAAGAUUUGGAGAUUUUUUUUGUUUACUUAAAAUUUCCUAUAUAUCUAGUAAAUUCUUUCUCAUUAUAUUUCAAUUAUAGUCCAAGGAAUUAAUUUACAUAAUGCUAAGAUCUUAAAACUCACAGUAAACAACACUGACACUUUCUUAAGAAUUGAAAUAGAGUAGAAUCUAGCCCAUUUGUUCAUUGCACUUCAACUAAUUUCUUAAGGAAAUAAGACUGUAGCAUAGAG